rnacentral:rRNA from 1 species
YGAAAGGGGUGCUAAUACCUGAUAAGCCCACGGGGUYUUCGGACUYUGCGGGAAAAGGGGGGGACCUUUAUCGGCCUUCCGUCAUCAGAUGAGUYUGCGUACCAUUAGCUAGUUGGUAGGGUAAAGGCCUACCAAGGCGACGAUGGUUAGCUGGUCUGAGAGGAUGAUCAGCCACACUGGAACUGAGACACGGUCCAGACUCCUACGGGAGGCAGCAGUGGGGAAUUUUGCGCAAUGGGGGAAACCCUGACGCAGCAACGCCGCGUGAGUGAUGAAGGCCCUUGGGUCGUAAAGCUCUGACAGAGGGAAAGAAGUGUAGAGUGGCUAAUAUCCACAUUACUUGACGGUACCCUCAWAKGAAGCACCGGCUAACUCCGUGCCAGCAGCCGCGGKWAUWCWWAUAGUGGGGGACAACGUUUYGAAAGGAACGCUAAUACCGCAUACGUCCUACGGGAGAAAGCAGGGGACCUUCGGGCCUUGCGCUAUCAGAUGAGCCUAGGUCGGAUUAGCUAGUUGGUGGGGUAAUGGCCUACCAAGGCGACGAUGGUUAGCUGGUCUGAGAGGAUGAUCAGCCACACUGGAACUGAGACACGGUCCAGACUCCUACGGGAGGCAGCAGUGGGGAAUUUUGCGCAAUGGGGGAAACCCUGACGCAGCAACGCCGCGUGAGUGAUGAAGGCUUUCGGGUCGUAAAGCUCUGUCAGAGGGGAAGAAAUGAGAUUGGCUAAUAUCCAAUUUUCUUGACGGUACCCUCAAAGGAAGCACCGGCUAACUCCGUGCCAGCAGCCGCGGKAAUACAA